CCUACGGGUGGCUGCAGUGAGGAAUAUUGGUCAAUGGACGAGAGUCUGAACCAGCCAAGUAGCGUGAAGGAUGACUGCCCCAUGGGUUGUAAACUUCUUUUAUAUGGGAAUAAAACGUUCCACGUGUGGGAUUUUGUAUGUACCAUAUGAAUAAGGAUCGGCUAACUCCGUGCCAGCAGCCGCGGUAAUACGGAGGAUCCGAGCGUUAUCCGGAUUUAUUGGGUUUAAAGGGAGCGUAGGUGGAUUGUUAAGUCAGUUGUGAAAGUUUGCGGCUCAACCGUAAAAUUGCAGUUGAAACUGGCAGUCUUGAGUACAGUAGAGGUGGGCGGAAUUCGUGGUGUAGCGGUGAAAUGCUUAGAUAUCACGAAGAACUCCGAUUGCGAAGGCAGUUCACUGGACUGCAACUGACACUGAGGCUCGAAAGUGUGGGUAUCAAACAGGAUUAGAUACCCUUGUAGUC
rnacentral:rRNA from 1 species